AAGACAGUACAUACACACCAUAAACUCCUCGGCAAAGUUUGCGAGCACUGACGUUCCUAUACAAAUGAUUUUUCCUGUUUUGCUUUAACAAGGAUAACCUUUGCCCUCAGUCUGCAUCUCACACAAUUUAGGUGGUGAACUGCAUGGCAUUAAGCCAAGGUUCUGCAACAAGGAUUAUUUUCAAACUUGCAUACUACUGUUACCCAAAUGCUUCAAGGUUCUCCACAGAUCAGUGAUUCUUUGUUCGGACAAAAUGACUUUUUUUUCAAGCACCCCUAUAAAUGCUGGUAUUUGAACAACAAUCAAGAGAUCUGCUUCAAGACAAGUGAGAAUCUGCAUCAAGGCAAAAGACUUUCAUUAAACUUUCAUUAGACUCAGUUAGUAUUAAUUGUAUUUUAAAAGUACCUAAUCUAAUAUCUCUAGGCAGGAGAUACACACGCUUUCUUCUCCUGUCCUCAAAACACUAAGUGUGAAUGCCAUGACUGGAAUAAAAUCACCCACCUAAAAUGAACCUGUCUCCUAAAAACUUUCAUAAUCAAGCCACAUAAGCUGGGUCCCUGACCUCUCCCCCUCCCAUAAUGAUUACUAUUACUAAAAAUUUAUGAGUAUUCCACUAUGUGCCUGGGACAAGUGUCAACAUCUGUGGGUUUACUCAAAGCUAACCAUCCUACUGUGGAUGUAGGAUGUUGGAACAUCAGGCUGUUCUGAGCCUAAUCAAGCACCAACUUGUUACCUCCCAGCACCCUUGAUCAGCAAGUUUUUAAAGAUUAGGUGACUUUUUAUAAAAGAGAUGGCAGAGAUGUAGAGAGAUGGCAGAGAAAUUUUUGGAAAAAAAAACAACCCAAAACAAAAAAAACCACACCAACAAAACAAAAAAAAAA